AGUCGAACGCGAAAGUUUCCUUCGGGGAAUAAGUAGAGUGGCGCACGGGUGAGUAACACGUAGGUAAUCUACCUUCGGGUGGGGAAUAACCCAGGGAAACUUGGGCUAACACCGCAUGAUGCAGCGGCACCACAUGGUGACAGUUGUUAAAGCGGGGGAUUUUCGGACCUCGCGCCUGAAGAGGAGCCUGCGGCGGAUUAACUAGUUGGUGAGGUAACGGCUCACCAAGGUCACGAUCCGUAGCCGGCCUGAGAGGGCGGUCGGCCACACUGACACUGACAUACGGGUCAGACUCCUACGGGAGGCAGCAGUCGGGAAUUUUGGGCAAUGGGCGAAAGCCUGACCCAGCAACGCCGCGUGAAGGAUGAAAUCCCUCGGGAUGUAAACUUCGCAAGAAUGGGAAGAAUGAACGAGCGCUAAUACCGUUCGUGAUGACGGUACCAUUUGUAAGCUCCGGCUAACUCCGUGCCAGCAGCCGCGGUAAUACGGGGGGAGCAAGCGUUGUUCGGAUUUACUGGGCGUAAAGGGCGCGUAGGCGGCCAGCGCAAGUCAGUUGUGAAAUCUCCGGGCUUAACUCGGAAAGGUCAACUGAUACUGCGCGGCUAGAGUGCGGAAGGGGCAACUGGAAUUCUCGGUGUAGCGGUGAAAUGCGUAGAUAUCGAGAGGAACACCUGCGGCGAAGGCGGGUUGCUGGGCCGACACUGACGCUGAUGCGCGAAAGCCAGGGGAGCGAACGGGAUUAGAUACCCCGGUAGUCCUGGCCUUAAACGAUGGAUGCUUGGUGUCUGGGGUUUUAUAGUCCCCGGGUGCC
rnacentral:rRNA from 1 species